rnacentral:lncRNA from 1 species
CUUUAAUCCACCUCUGCAUGUGAUCAUCUGCAUUUGACUCCUUGAACUAUGGCAGCCAGCUGGAGCCAUGAAGUAAGCCACCCUAACAUGAGUGGCAGAAACAUGGAGAGACAGGGUUUCACCAUAAUGGCCAGGCUGCUCUCCACCUCCUGGGCUCAAGCGAUCCACCCACCUCAGCCUCCCAAAAUGUUGGGAUUGCAGAUAUGAGCCAUAGUUCCCCUCCAUCAGCCCAAAUGUCAGUUCCUGGAGUACAAAGGCGGUGGCUGCUUCAGAUGCUUCAGACUGAAACUGCUCUUUGCCAUUCUCAUGGACACUGGAGAGUUAAGUUUGGUUAAAUUGAUGCCUUUUUCUUUUAAAAAAGAAAGAAUACACAUAUACCUUUGUGUACACACAAGCUAGGAAACAUCAAUCUAAUACAUGGAUGGCAAGAAAAACCAGAUCUGGCUCAUGCCAGUUACAAUGGUCUGUGAAGAUAAAAAGAUUUCUUCAGAUUUAUUUCUCAGCCAAUUUCUGCUUUUCCUAGGGAGAAAUUAAAAGUUUGUUAAAUACCUAUGUUUAGCCUUUUAUUAAUUUAGCCGGUGAAAUUAAAAG